UUCCAUUUGAAAGGAUGGAGCUUCGUCUUUUGAUCUUCGAUUCGUUUUCGGUUUGAUCUCUUUUUGGGGAUUUACAUGCGUUUCGGUUUGAAACCCAAUAUUUUCCUGACAAUUUUUGCUUUUCGUUUCCAUCUUGGUGGUGAAAAGACGGAACCUUUUCGUUGAGCAGUUGCAUCUGGAAUCUCCGCCAUACGUGCAUGCACUUGUUGAAGUUCUUUCUCGGAAUGGCGUGGCUACCCAUUUGCGUAGACGCGGCGAAUGAUCAGAUCUGAGUGUCUCAUUGUUCAAUCUCUCUUAGGGUUUUUUGUUUUCGUAGAGAUCGGUUUUGGGUACUUAGUUUUUGACGUUGCAUUCUAUUGCACGUCUUCAGUUUCAGUUGCAAGUGUCUGGAAAAUGGGUUUUGCUUUGGAUAUCUCCUAUCCAGUGCUUUAGAUCAUUUUCUGUGGUUAUACCCUAUUGUUCAUUUUCUGUGUCUUUGUUUGGUGUUGUUCCAUGCCCUUUGAGAAAGGUAUUAGAUCUGGGAAUGAGCAGCUUUUACAGUUCUCAUUCUUGGUUUAGCCCUCUCUUCGUGCUUGAAACUUUGAUUUUCUCUCUGCUCUUAAAAAGUCAUGAUCUUUGGUAGUAAGCCUUACUUGCCCAGUGAUGUAGAUUAAACUGUCUCGAGUGUUGCCCUGGUUUCACAGUUAGCCUUUCUGCUUACCAUUGCAGGCCUCAUCAUCAUCAUCAUCAUCUUCUUCUUCUUCUUCUUCUUCUUACCGUUAUUAUUAUUAUUAUUAUUAUUGGUAACGGCGGGGCUAGCUUUGAAACCGGAUCAAGAUGCGGCACUAAUGACAGAUAUGUAAUCUUUUCGAACUGAGGGCCUUCCUUUUGUAAACGUCGUUGGUUUUGGUCGCUGUCUAUGUGAACCCUUUUGGUUUUUGAGAUGCAUUCAUGCUUUUGCUUCAUAUUUUGUUUUGUGGUUAUUUUCAUUUCUAAGUUGAGGUAUAAUGAGGCGAUCUUCAAUGGAUUGCAGAGCCUAGAAAGCUGUGUUUUUACCUGUUUAAUGUCACUUCUGCUGUGAAUGAUUUUAUCUUGUGUAAGUACUUGGAUGAGUGUUGAGUGUCUUAUGAGGUACAUUAGUUGUUUUUUUUCCCCGUUUCUUAUUCUAACAUUGGAACUGCAUUUGACCAUGGCUUGUAAUCUUUAGGUGAAUAUGUUGUUCCUGUCCCGGGACACUUGCCCUGUGAUGAGAGCUCAGUUGAACUUUUCGAGUGGUGCCACCGGUCUUUUUCUUGUGUCGAGCCUCUCUUUCCGUCUUCACCACUGCUGCUAGCAGCCAUCUCUCUCUGAACCGAUUGCAGAUAUUGUGUAAGUGAGGAGAACUCAAGUUCCAUGGAUGGAUGGAGAGAGGAACCUCUCAAGUGUAACAGAAAGUUUCAAGGUUCUACCAAAGGGAACUCCAUUUUCUUGUUUAUGAUUCUUUGAUUUGGUGUUGGGUGAAUUCUUUGUCUGAGAUUUUCUUGAGAGGCCCACACAUUCAUGUACUUGUUGUAAUGAUUUUCUUUUGCAUUAUGUGAACCCAUAUCAAGAUUUUAUUUAGGACUAAGCAUGAAAUGAUUCAUGGCUACUUGAGUUUUUUUUA